UACGUAGGUGGCAAGCGUUAUCCGGAUUUAUUGGGUGUAAAGGGCGUGUAGGCGGGAGCGCAAGUCAGAUGUGAAAACUCAGGGCUCAACCCUGAGCCUGCAUUUGAAACUGUACUUCUUGAGUACUGGAGAGGCAGACGGAAUUCCUAGUGUAGCGGUGAAAUGCGUAGAUAUUAGGAGGAACACCAGUGGCGAAGGCGGUCUGCUGGACAGCAACUGACGCUGAGGCGCGAAAGCGUGGGGAGCAAACAGG
rnacentral:rRNA from 1 species